rnacentral:rRNA from 1 species
UGGGGAAUAUUGCACAAUGGACGGAAGUCUGAUGCAGCGACGCCGCGUGGGGGAUGAAGGCUUUCGGGUUGUAAACUCCUUUCAGUGCAGAAGAAGCUUUAUUGUGACGGUAUGUGCAGAAGAAGCGCCGGCUAACUACGUGCCAGCAGCCGCGGUAAUACGUGGGGCGCGAGCGUUGUCCGGAAUUAUUGGGCGUAAAGAGCUCGUAGGCGGUUUGUCGCGUCUGCUGUGAAAGACCGGGGCUUAACUCCGGGGCUGCAGUGGGUAUGGGCAGGGUGGAGUGCGGUAGAGGUACCCGGAAUUCCUGGGGUAGCGGUGGAAUGCGCAGAUAUCAGGAGGAAAACCGAUGGCGAAGGCAGGUUACUGGGCAGUUACUGACGCUGAGGAGCGACAGCAUGGGGAGCGAAAAGG